UGCGCAGGCGGACUAUUAAGUCAGUGGUGAAAUCUCUCGGCUCAACCGAGAAACUGCCAUUGAAACUGAUAGCCUUGAGUAUGGUUGUGGUAGGCGGAAUAUAGCAUGUAGCGGUGAAAUGCUUAGAUAUGCUAUAGAACACCGAUCGCGAAGGCAGCUUACCAAACCAUUACUGACGCUCAUGCACGAAAGCGUGGGGAGCAAACAGGAUUAGAUACCCUGGUAGUCC
rnacentral:rRNA from 1 species